rnacentral:lncRNA from 1 species
UUUGCCAUGUGCCUCCCCCCUUUGCCAUGUGUUGGCAGACGGCAAAGAGGGGAGAGAGAGGGGGCAGAUUCCCCCUUUGCCAUGUGCCUCCCCCCUUUGCCAUGUGUUGGCAGACGGAAAAGAGGGGAACCAGCCCCUUAUUUAUUUAUUUUUUGUUAUAUCCAGCAUUUUUAACAAUAAUCAGGAUAUAUAUAUAUAU